rnacentral:rRNA from 1 species
UACAGAGGGUGCGAGCGUUGUUCGGAAUUACUGGGCGUAAAGCGCGCGCAGGCGGCUUCUUAAGUCCGUCGGUCAAAUGCCGGGGCUCAACCCCGAGCGUGCCGAGGAUACUGGGAGGCUGGAGACAUGUAGAGGCAAGCGGAAUUCCGGGUGUAGCGGUGGAAUGCGUAGAGAUCCGGAAGAACACCGGAGGCGAAGGCGGCUUGCUGGGCAUGAUCUGACGCUGAGGCGCGAAAGCGUGGGGAGCGAACAGGAUUAGAUACCCUGGUAGUCCACGCCGUAAACGAUGGGCACUAGACGCGGGUGGGAUCGACCCCUUCCGUGUCGAAGCUAACGCGAUAAGUGCCCCGCCUGGGGAGUACGGCCGCAAGGCUGAA